AACCAAUUCAACUACCUUUUUCACAGGCAAGGGAGAAACCUUAUAUUCAACUACUGAAAAUGGAAAUGGCAAUGUUAGCCCCUUAGACAAGAGUCGCCACCGCCUCUCAAAGGCUUUCCCCAGGAUCAACAUUCCGCAUGAAAUAAGCUUCAAGGAAAUCUUGUCAGCAACAAACAACUUUGCAGAUUCCCGGAAGAUAGCUGAAGCAGGUUUUGGAACUGCUUACCAUGGCAUACUUGACAACCAUAACCAUGUCCUAGUGAAGAGACUAGGCAUGAAUAAUUGCGCUGAAUUGCGGUCACGCUUCACAAAUGAACUCCAGAAUUUAGGAAAGCUGAGACACCGGAACCUGGUGCAGCUUCGCGGGUGGUGCACCGAGCAAGGAGAGAUGCUUGUCUUGUAUGAUUACUCGGCAACUCGUCUUUUAAGUCACCCCUUGUUCCAUCCAGAUGAUAGAAGUGGGCAUCAAAUCCUGAAAUGGCAUCAACGAUACAACAUAGUCAAAUCACUUGCUUCUGCAGUUUGUUAUCUCCAUGAAGAAUGGGACGAGCAGGUAAUUCAUAAAAACAUUACCUCUUCAUCGAUUAUUCUUGAUUCAGACAUGAACCCAAGGCUUGGUUGCUUUGCCCUCGCUGAAUUCUUAACAAGAGAUGCACAAGAGUAUAAAGUUGUUGCUGACAAAAAAUGUCCUUUCCAAGGAAUGUUUGGUUACAUGCCCCCAG
rnacentral:lncRNA from 1 species